rnacentral:antisense_RNA from 1 species
GCUUUUAUCUCAGGUUGCCCAAUGGAUAAGUACAUUACUUUUUAACUCUAUGCCUGAUUGACCAAGGUAAAGCUGAAAGAGUCUCAUCUGAACUAUAACCCAAGUGGGUAAGCCAGUCCCUUGGCACUGCCCAGGAAGAAGAUAUGGAUGGGAGGACUACUCCUUCUUGAAUGCAGAGGAUAAAAGUUAUCUGGGAGCUCUUUUAUGAUUGUUGGAGAAGAUAGGAGAAAGUGAAGAAGGGAAGAAGAGAAAAAAACAGAGAAGAAAGAAGGAAAAGAAGAUAGGAGAGGGACAAGUAGAAGAAGGAAAGGAAAGGAAAAGCAAGGAAAAAGGAUAACCUGUCCUCUUUGACUAGUAGGCUCACCAACUCUUCUUUACCAUGGAAGGGAUUUCAGUAGGACCGAAGGCUUUUCCCAUGAAAUAGUAUUUUAUCUUGAUAAGAACCUAGCACAUUGGUUACCAACCUCCUUAAAUUGAUUCCCUCAAAAGGAAGAAAGUGUUUCUGGAAAUCCUCUGAAACUUCCAGAGUCCCCCAAGCCCAGUGCUAUUUCUACCAGGGGAGAAAGCAGAGCUCUUUGUAUAUAUGGGUAGGAGCAAAGUAAGAUUCUCCUCCCCCUUUCCCCACAACCCGAAGCAAAAGUUUCUCCUGAGAUUUCAACCAGUAAAAUCACCAUAUAAUAGAUUAGGCAUCCUGAGAAGUUCUUAAUGGAACGAGAGCUCUCACUAAUCAAAGCAGGAAAGAACAGGGCCUUGAAGAAAUCAGAAAUCUAAUUAAGGUGGAAUCUCAAGAGAUCUGACUGAAUGUUAAAUAAGUUGUAGAAGCCUCAUCAAAAGGAUUAACUCAGCUGCAGAGACAACGC